rnacentral:lncRNA from 1 species
GGCUCCAGGGGCGAACAGCUGAAAUUGCUCCGGGAUGCAAUAUUGCUCUCGGAGCCGAUCAACGUUCGGCCCCGAAAGUGAAAAGACCUCCACCUCUGGGGUCGACCGAGGGUCGUCAGUCGGGUUCCCCGACCGACCUCCUCUUGGAGAUGUUCUAGCCAUAAACCGGAAUAGAAGUCGGAAAAUAGGAAGAAGGGGGAAGAGAACCGUGAGGAAGCAAGGAAAAGGAAGGACAACGGUGAAGGCUCCUAGAGGAAAAAAGACUUCUAAAGGGGGAAAAUGGAGACGGUUACCUGGGGCAAGGGACC